rnacentral:rRNA from 1 species
CUACGGGGGGCUGCAGUCACGAAUAUUCCUCAAUGGCCGAAAGGCUGAAGGAGCGACGCCGCGUGUAUGAUGAAGCCCCUCGGGGCGUAAAGUACUUUUAUCAGGGACGAAUUUUGACGGUACCUGAUGAAUAAGGGGCUGCUAACCUCGUGCCAGCAGCAGCGGUAAUACGAGGGCCCCAAGCGUUAUCCGGAUUUACUGGGCGUAAAGCGUCCGCAGACGGUUUGUCGCAUCUCCUGUUAAAUCAUCCGGCUCAACCGGGUGGCCGCAGGAGAGAUGGAUAAACUAGAGACCGGAAGAGGUAAGUAGAAUUGCUGGUGUAGGGGUUAAAUCCGUUAAUAUCAGCAAGAACACUCAAUGCGAAGGCAACUUACUAGGACGGUUCUGACGUUCAGAGGACGAAAGCGUGGGGAGCGAAUGGGAUUAGAUACCCUCGUAGUC